AUAGUAUGGGCCAAACACUGUUCUAGGGCUGGAGAUACAUCAAGGACUAAUAGACAAAAAUUCCUGCACUCGUGGAACUUAUAUUCUCUAGAAGGAGUCCCCAAGGUCACUCAGCAAGUCUCAGCAUAGCCGGGAAUGAAUAACAGGUCUCCUGGACCCCAGGGCUCUGUCCAGGAAGCUUCUGUGAAGGUACAAGCAAGGAAAGGAAUGGACCCUUUCUGCUAUGCCCUGGUCAGGAAACCUAGAUUCCUGGGACUGAGUUGCUAUGGACUUCUGGAAAUCGCUUCCUGUCUCUAAGUGUGGAUCUCCCUCUGCACAGUGGGUAACUGUAGGGGGAUGGGGAGAUCAUCUUUAUGGGUAUCGGCUGCUCUAAACUUCAGUGAUGAUGAGGUUGGAAACUGUCAAGUGCUGUGUGAUUCUAUGUGAGGAGUUUUGGCUCUUCUCCUCUUCCUGUUAAAACCCAGCUCAGGCAGGGUGUGGUGGCUCAUGCCUGUAAUCCCA
rnacentral:lncRNA from 10 species